GAGUAGUAUAUAUCUGUUUAAGAACCUCUUCCUUUUUUCCUAUUUGGUUCUAUUAUCCAAUUUCCUAUUUGAUUUUCUUAUUUUUAACUCUUUCCAUUUAAAAUAUUAUAUAUCCAAAGUUAUAAGACCAAAUUAGUUUCCUUAUCAAAACGAAAAAUUUCAAGAAAGAAAAAAGGAAAAAAAAAAAACUCAUGGCAUUAAUUUAGCACACAAGCUAUUUUCUAACCGUCAUUCUGGCCUUGUCCGUCGUGUAGUAGCAAAAUUAAUCACUGCAUUACAAUCAAAAUCUAAAAAACACGUGUCGGUCCUCUGUCUCUGGUAAUGCCGAACUGUUAAUUCCCCAGUGGCCGGGAUUUGAACCCAGGUGGCGAUACUCACAGCUGUAAGCCCUUUACCACUAGAGCUAGAAGUCCCGGUUUCUAAAACAUGUUUUCUAAAUUUUUUAAUAUGCUUUGGUACCUAAAACAUAUGUUCAUGGGUUUUAUCAGAGUACCUACCUACACAAUAUAAUCUUUGGAACUACCAAUAUUAGAGAAUCUCAGUCUCUAAAAUAAAGUUUAUUUCUUAACAUCAGAGAAUUUGACUAAAAUAACUGUACAUAUAGGUAAGAAACUCUCACUUUGGCAAAAUUAUUUUUUUAAAAAAAAAUCCAAACAUAUUAUACGAGAAUA